rnacentral:rRNA from 1 species
UACGGGGGGGGCAAGCGUUGUUCGGAAUUACUGGGCGUAAAGGGCUCGUAGGCGGCCAACUAAGUCCGACGUGAAAUCCCCAGGCUUAACCUGGGAACUGCGUCGGAUACUGGAUGGCUUGAAUCCGGGAGAGGGAUGCAGAAUUCCAGGUGUAGCGGUGAAAUGCGUAGAUAUCUGGAGGAACACCGGUGGCGAAGGCGGCAUCCUGGACCGGCAUUGACGCUGAGGAGCGAAAGCCAGGGGAGCAAACGGG